rnacentral:rRNA from 1 species
UGCAAGUCGAGCGGAGUGAUGGUGCUUGCACUAUCACUUAGCGGCGGACGGGUGAGUAAUGCUUAGGAAUCUGCCUAUUAGUGGGGGACAACAUUUCGAAAGGAAUGCUAAUACCGCAUACGUCCUACGGGAGAAAGCAGGGGAUCUUCGGACCUUGCGCUAAUAGAUGAGCCUAAGUCGGAUUAGCUAGUUGGUGGGGUAAAGGCCUACCAAGGCGACGAUCUGUAGCGGGUCUGAGAGGAUGAUCCGCCACACUGGGACUGAGACACGGCCCAGACUCCUACGGGAGGCAGCAGUGGGGAAUAUUGGACAAUGGGCGAAAGCCUGAUCCAGCCAUGCCGCGUGUGUGAAGAAGGCCUUAUGGUUGUAAAGCACUUUAAGCGAGGAGGAGGCUACUGAAGUUAAUACCUUCAGAUAGUGGACGUUACUCGCAGAAUAAGCACCGGCUAACUCUGUGCCAGCAGCCGCGGUAAUACAGAGGGUGCAAGCGUUAAUCGGAUUUACUGGGCGUAAAGCGCGCGUAGGCGGCUAAUUAAGUCAAAUGUGAAAUCCCCGAGCUUAACUUGGGAAUUGCAUUCGAUACUGGUUAGCUAGAGUGUGGGAGAGGAUGGUAGAAUUCCAGGUGUAGCGGUGAAAUGCGUAGAGAUCUGGAGGAAUACCGAUGGCGAAGGCAGCCAUCUGGCCUAACACUGACGCUGAGGUGCGAAAGCAUGGGGAGCAAACAGGAUUAGAUACCCUGGUAGUCCAUGCCGUAAACGAUGUCUACUAGCCGUUGGGGCCUUUGAGGCUUUAGUGGCGCAGCUAACGCGAUAAGUAGACCGCCUGGGGAGUACGGUCGCAAGACUAAAACUCAAAUGAAUUGACGGGGGCCCGCACAAGCGGUGGAGCAUGUGGUUUAAUUCGAUGCAACGCGAAGAACCUUACCUGGCCUUGACAUAGUAAGAACUUUCCAGAGAUGGAUUGGUGCCUUCGGGAACUUACAUACAGGUGCUGCAUGGCUGUCGUCAGCUCGUGUCGUGAGAUGUUGGGUUAAGUCCCGCAACGAGCGCAACCCUUUUCCUUAUUUGCCAGCGAGUAAUGUCGGGAACUUUAAGGAUACUGCCAGUGACAAACUGGAGGAAGGCGGGGACGACGUCAAGUCAUCAUGGCCCUUACGGCCAGGGCUACACACGUGCUACAAUGGUCGGUACAAAGGGUUGCUACCUAGCGAUAGGAUGCUA